rnacentral:rRNA from 1 species
UACGGGGGGGGCAAGCGUUGUUCGGAAUUACUGGGCGUAAAGGGCUCGUAGGCGGCCAACUAAGUCAGACGUGAAAUCCCUCGGCUUAACCUGGGAACUGCGUCUGAUACUGGAAGGCUUGAGGAUGGGAGAGGGAUGUAGAAUUCCAGGUGUAGCGGUGAAAUGCGUAGAUAUCUGGAGGAAUACCGGUGGCGAAGGCGGCAUCCUGGACCAUUACUGACGCUGAGGCGCGAAAGCUAGGGGAGCAAACGGG